GACGGGGGCCCGCACAAGCGGUGGAGCAUGUGGUUAAUUCGAUGCAACGCGAAGAACCUUACCUGGGCUUGACAUCCCGGGAAUCCCUUGGAAACAAGGGAGUGCCCUUCGGGGAACCUGGAGACAGGUGCUGCAUGGCUGUCGUCAGCUCGUGUCGUGAGAUGUAGGGUUAAGUCCCGCAACGAGCGCAACCCUUGUCUUUAAUUGCCAUCAUUGAGUUGGGCACUUUAAAGAGACUGCCGGUGUUAAACCGGAGGAAGGUGGGGAUGACGUCAAGUCCUCAUGGCCUUUAUGCCCAGGGCUACACACGUGCUACAAUGGGUGGUACAAAGAGCAGCCAGCUCGCGAGAGUGAGCAAAUCUCUUAAAGCCAAUCUCAGUUCGGAUUGUAGGCUGCAACUCGCCUACAUGAAGUCGGAAUCGCUAGUAAUCGCGGAUCAGCACGCCGCGGUGAAUACGUUCCCGGGCCUU
rnacentral:rRNA from 1 species